rnacentral:rRNA from 1 species
UCGGUUUUUUCUUAAGCGGAGUGGCGGACGGGUGAGUAACACGUGGGGAACCUAUCCAUUAGCGGGGGAUAACACUUGGAAACAGGUGCUAAUACCGCAUACGGCUUUUUUUCACCUGAAAGAAAGCUCAAAGGCGCUUUACAGCGUCACUGAUGGCUGGCCCCGCGGUGCAUUAGCCAGUUGGUGAGGUAACGGCUCACCAAAGCAACGAUGCAUAGCCGACCUGAGAGGGUGAUCGGCCACACUGGGACUGAGACACGGCCCAGACUCCUACGGGAGGCAGCAGUAGGGAAUCUUCGGCAAUGGACGCAAGUCUGACCGAGCAACGCCGCGUGAGUGAAGAAGGUUUUCGGAUCGUAAAGCUCUGUUGUCAGCAAAGAACAGGAGAAAGAGGCAAUGCUUUUUCUAUGACGGUAGCUGACCAGAAAGCCACGGCUAACUACGUGCCAGCAGCCGCGGUAAUACGUAGGUGGCAAGCGUUGUCCGGAUUUAUUGGGCGUAAAGCGAGCGCAGGCGGUGAUUUAAGUCUGAUGUGAAAGCCCCCAGCUCAACUGGGGAGGGUCAUUGGAAACUGGAUCACUUGAGUGCAGAAGAGGAGAGUGGAAUUCCAUGUGUAGCGGUGAAAUGCGUAGAUAUAUGGAGGAACACCAGUGGCGAAGGCGGCUCUCUGGUCUGUAACUGACGCUGAGGCUCGAAAGCGUGGGUAGCAAACAGGAUUAGAUACCCUGGUAGUCCACGCCGUAAACGAUGAGUGCUAAGUGUUGGAGGGUUUCCGCCCUUCAGUGCUGCAGUUAACGCA